AUGAAAUUUGAGGAAACCGAAUUUGUAAACAAUAAUUUCGACCUGGAAAACAGAAGAAUUUAUUGAACAAAAGGUUUCAAAUAACAAGGAAAGCGUACUUGGCUUUACAAUGGAUCUGUCGCAAAAGGACUCCGCGGAAGAGUCUCAAAACUCCAGUGAAAGCUCUUCACUUCAAAUAUCAGAUCUGCCAGAGGAAAUCUUGGAGUACAUUCUUAUCCACUUGUCCCCUUACAGAGAUUUAAAAUGUGCCAUGUCGGUAAACAGACAGUGGUAUCGCCUUGUUCAAGGUGUGAUUCGUCAGAUGUACCAGAACUUUUACGCUGGGAUUUUAGAGGGGCAGUUGGCCUGGACAGGUAUCACUCCUGAGGUGGGCUCUAACAUUACUGAGCGAUACUCUCACUGUGCCUGCUAUUAUGACAAAUCCAUGUACAUAUUUGGAGGAUGCACCUCCACCAACACUACAUUCAACGACCUGUGGAGGUUUGACCUCAAGGACAGACAGUGGAUCAGACCACUUGCCAUAGGUAGUGUAUAUCAAACAAUAGAUCCAAGAUUUUCCAGUGCAAUCAAUUCUAUGCCUUACGUGUGUUAUAUUUUUCGACAGAUUUGGUUAUUCUGCUCUUUUAACAACUGAAUUUUAUUUUCUGUAAUAUAUGACUGAUAAUUUUUGUUUCCUUUCUCAACAUUAUCAAAUUAUAAAAAUAUAUGAUUAUCAUAUAAUUAUGCAUUUUGAUUGAUUAAAUAUUACAUUUUAAUCAUUUCUUGAAUAUUGUUUGGUGGGAAUUGAAUACUGUUAUUUUUGUCUCUUAGGGACAUAUCCAUCCCCCAAGGCUUGUGCUAGUUUGGUUGUGUACAAGGACAGUUUGGUUUUGUUUGGGGGAUGGAGUCACCCCACCCCCUACCCUCUCCAUCAGGCUGCCCGGUUUUUCUCUGAGUUACAUAUCUACAAACCAGAACCGAAUCGCUGGUACCACAUGAACACUUUGUCACCGGUCAGUCCCGCCCCCACAGCUGGUCACUCUGCCUCCAUUGUGGGCGACAGGAUGAUUGUGUUUGGAGGAUCCCAUGUUCCUGGCACAGGAAACAAUGAAGUGUGGGUGUUUAAUUUCAUUGACUUGACAUGGCAGAGGAAGCACACCAGCAACAAACGACCUAACCCUCGCUAUGGACAGACUCAGGUGACCUUGGAUGAGAACCACAUUCUAGUGAUAGGGGGAUGUGGGGGACCAAAUCAGAUUUUCAAUGACCUUUGGAUUCUCUGUCUGGACACUGACCCCUGGAGCUGGCAGGAAGUGACCAUCAAUCAGCCAGAGUUCUCCGCCCCCCAACUGUGGUGUCACCCUGCAUGCAAGGUAAAUGACAAGAUAAUUGUGUUGAGUAAGCCUGCUAAACCUCUACGACCUAUGACUGCUGACCCCAAGAAGCCCACCAGUUACGCCUACAGGAACAACAAAAUCUGGGUCCCUCCUCGGGAAUCCCCCAGGGACUCUCCAGGACCCUCGGGUGGGGCUGCUGCUACAUUCAAGCGACCAGUUUCAGAGAGUGAUGACAGCUCCAGUGCUGAUGACGAAGAGAAUUCAACUUCAAGGUCAGAUAGGGAACAUUUAGAGUUCAAACACCCUGGCGACACUGUUAGAGGUCGCGGUACAUCACCCAGGAGAUCCCCAAUGUCUCACAGUCAUCUCCAGAGUCACAGUUACAUCACUGGCCCAGAUUCCCCGGGACCUUCCAUGCAGGCAUUCACCGGCCCGGAUUCUCCCGGACCUUCCAUGCAGGCAUUCAGUACCAGUGACUCCCGUCCUGGGGUGCUAGGAGGGAGACACAAUGCCGUGAAAAACCGAGAAAAGCAGCUGGAAGCUCUGAAGAAGUUUGAGGAGAGGCUGAGGGAAAGUUUGGCUAGACAGUCGGGAACGCAGGGUCAAAACCAGUUGACCAAUGACAGUUCUAGAAAAAAUCGCCUGAGGGAGCUGCGUACUCCCAUACAUCUACAUGUGCUGGACAUCUCUAAUAUUGUGCAAUCUCAUACUGCCACAUGGCAGCCAGUGAAGGAGAAUUCUUCUUUGGAGGCUCCCGAGGAGACAAUAUUUUACACGCUAGUGGAGGGGCGGGGGGAAUUGGUCAUGUUUGGGGGGAUUCAGAGGGACAUUCAGUUUAUGCAGAGGGGGAUGGAUGUCAAAUCUCAUGUGGUCAGCAACAACCUGUACAUCCUGUCCCACUCACAAGUCUCCCUAUGAUCCCUCGCACAACUCUGCUCCUGUUUUUUACAGUUGAUUCAUGUCCACUCUCGAGUCCCUGUGUGUUUAACUGUUAGAAAUCUAGUCCACAUUCAGGAAUUCCCACAUCCUGCAAGUUGGAGCCAACUUAUGGCUGCUUUAUUUUUAAAAUUAUCUUGAACUUUAUAAGACCUGUGACUUUUUAUCGACAUUGUAUGGUUAAAAUAUCUAAGAAAAAUAGUUCUCGUUAAUAUCUAAAUUUGACAGGUUGAAUGUCUUGUUUAGUAUUUAGAUUUCACCAUGCAUUCAGGUUUAACUGCAUGUUCAAUACGUCAGCAUGAAAUGUCGUAGCAUGAUUUUUUUUACAUUAUUAAAUUAUUGA
rnacentral:misc_RNA from 1 species